rnacentral:rRNA from 1 species
UACAGAGGGUGCGAGCGUUAAUCGGAAUUACUGGGCGUAAAGCGCGUGUAGGCUGCUUGGAAAGUCGGAUGUGAAAGCCCUGGGCUCAACCUAGGAAGUGCAUUCGAAACUUCCAAGCUGGAGUGCUGGAGAGGAAGGCGGAAUUCUCGGUGUAGAGGUGAAAUUCGUAGAUAUCGAGAGGAACACCGGUGGCGAAGGCGGCCUUCUGGACAGUUACUGACGCUGAGACGCGAAAGCGUGGGGAGCAAACAGG